CAGGGUAUUGCCCUAGUAACGGCGAGUGAAGCGGCAACAGCUCAAAUUUGAAAUCUGGCUCUCGGGCCCGAGUUGUAAUUUGUAGAGGAUACUUUUGAUGCGGUGCCUUCCGAGUUCCCUGGAACGGGACGCCAUAGAGGGUGAGAGCCCCGUCUGGUUGGAUGCCAAAUCUCUGUAAAGUUCCUUCAACGAGUCGAGUAGUUUGGGAAUGCUGCUCUAAAUGGGAGGUAUAUGUCUUCUAAAGCUAAAUACCGGCCAGAGACCGAUAGCGCACAAGUAGAGUGAUCGAAAGAUGAAAAGCACUUUGAAAAGAGAGUUAAAAAGUACGUGAAAUUGUUGAAAGGGAAGCGUUUAUGACCAGACUUGGGCUUGGUUAAUCAUCUGGGGUUCUCCCCAGUGCACUUUUCCAGUCCAGGCCAGCAUCAGUUUUCCCCGGGGGAUAAAGGCGGCGGGAAUGUGGCUCUCUUCGGGGAGUGUUAUAGCCCACCGUGUAAUACCCUGGGGGGGACUGAGGUUCGCGCAUCUGCAAGGAUGCUGGCGUAAUGGUCAUCAACGACCCGUCUUGAAACACGGACCCCUGUGUGAAAUU
rnacentral:rRNA from 1 species